UCUCAAGUCGUUCUUCCAUCUUCUUCAACAACAUGAUUUCAACAAUUUUGAACCAAAUCCUCAUACUUUCCCCAAAUUCAUCCCCCAAAUCUUGCCCAACCCCCUAAUCGCUCCUCAAAGGAACCUGCGCAUCUCAUUACUCCCGCUGGCAAGUAUGGGCGUGGAACCCCAAAUCUUGAUAAUUUCCCUUAUUAUCUUCCAGAUCUAGAACCCCAAAGCAUUGGUGAAAUAGGGUUUGAAGGACGGCGGCUGUUUUAGAGGUUGUGAGAGAACUACGGCGGGUGGAGGUAGUGAGAGGAUGGCUGUCGCUUUGUGUUCUGGUGCUCGAUUUGAAGGAAGACGACGAACAGAAGUGGCACCGACGAACAAAUCUGGUUUAACAGAUCUGAUUCAUCAUCUUCUAGGAUGAUUCUGUUAUCAGCGCAGAUUAAUGAUGAAAGGUGAACAAGGUUAGGAAACGGUAAAAGGUUUAAGAACUUUGUUCAACAUCAUCGAUGUAAAACUUUGUUUGAGCAACAAGAUGAAGUUUCAGAUGAAUGAGAUGAAUUUCAUUUUGAGGCAGUAAAAUGUUGGCGGUGGGGGUCCUGGGGGAGUGGCAGGGGUUGGUGGCAGAUUUGGUUGUUGGUUGGAGAAGAGGGAGAGAAAGAGAGCUAGUUGAGAUAGAUAGGGGUAAAUGGCAAAAAUGUCCUCACAUGAGGUGCACAUGAUCUGACUUAACAUAAAAUUUUAACUUGGUUAGUGCUAAAGGACGGAAUGUGUAAUGGGUUUUACAAAUAAAGGAUUGUGACUGUAAUUAUUAAAGUUAAAGGCUAUCCAUUACAAUCUGAUACAAACAUAAAGGACGAAAAGUGUAAUUUACCCUACUUUAAAUAAAUAAUUAAACCAUACUAGUUCCAUCUUCAAACUUAAAAUCCUGAUUAUUCCAAAGUUAGGAUUAAAAUCCCUAAUUUUUCUAUAGAACUAACAUGCCCUAAAACUAGUUCAUAUACUUAAGCUCUAUUAUUUGUUAAUAUUGUGACCUACUUGGGAUUUUCUCCCAACACCUUACAUACUUGCAGUUGUUUGGUUUUGCUUGCACCCUAAGGUGAGUAGAUCUCUUUCCCCAUUUUUUACAAUUAAUCUUUUGGGGUGUAUCAUGUGUCACGUUUACUCGCAAAUUCACUUUCGAUUUUAAUACAGAAACAUGCAAAACAAAUGUAGAUUAUGUGUUAUAUAUUUAUUACUUGUUUGUUUACUCGCUUUAUGUCUCAAUAUCACAUUAGUUGUUUACACGCUUUGUGUCGCAGUUUCAUAUGUGGAUCCACUGGCUGACUAGGUUCCCCACGACCAUGGGUUGUAGCAUGGUAUCGUCACCAUCAUUUAGAUUCGCUUUUCAGGGAUUGAGUCUCAUAAUGUCGCAUUUACUGCAUUUGGAAAUCAGGUUUGACGAGCAUGGAUAAAGAUCACGUAGGAAAUGCCUUAGUCGAAUAAUCGGGAUUGUAUUUUAAGUUUCAUGUUUUGUUUGAUGUUUGGAUUAUUUGGAGUUAUACGUUUAUGUGACAUUUUGAAUUUGUCAUGAAUAAAUAUUAAACGUUAAUAGUUU